UAUCUAUAACAAACAAGAUGUGAACAUACAGAAUCUAAAUUGACUGAGGAGAAGAAGUAGAUAUCUCAUUAGUCAUCGGAAGAACAUCAUCUCUUUCUUCUGCAUCGCUAUCUUAGACUGUUGCCACAGUGGCCUUCGUCUGAUCUCUAAGCUAUAGGCAAUCUCCGACUUGAUGCCCCAAGUCAUCACAUUUGUAACACUGGAUCAUGCUGUAGUCUCUUGACUUGGACUUGGACCACCGACCUUACGAUCUUCUACCCCUUCCUCCUCUGCCACCACCUUCUCCAGUCACCUCCAUAGUCGAGUCACCAUCUAAACUUGAAGCUCAGUUCUCCAAUCUAAGAAUCUCAUUUUGGAAAAGUGUAAA
rnacentral:lncRNA from 1 species